rnacentral:misc_RNA from 1 species
GUGAAUCAUCAAAUUUUUGAACGCAAAUUGCACUCUCUUCGGAGAGUAUGCCUGUUUGAGGGUCAGCCUCAAAAAAAAUCGACAUAGUCGCUGUUUCGCCGUGACAUUCUUCGGCACUUGGGUCAUCUUAACCCUUUUGGUGUUAAGCGGCUUAAAAUUUUCUUUACGAUUUCCCGAACGUUUCUAAUAUUUUCUUCUUCCACGUUUAAGGUAAUCGAUCUUUAUUAGC